rnacentral:lncRNA from 1 species
GGCGGAGCCGGGAGGCCCGCGGGGCAGGGGUGCGGCAAUGGGGAGAAGGCCCAUGGGGAGCCUGGAGGGAGGGCCUGAGGAAGGCGAGGGGUCGAGUGGGGCCUGACGGGAAGGCUGGCCGGCCGGUGUGGCAUGUGGGGCCUUGCCCAGCACAAACGUGCCUUCCUACGCCCGGAGCCCCAGACGCAGAGCCUGAGAGAGGGUGCGAGCAGUUCGUUUGGAGGUGAUCUCGAGAAGUGGGUCAUGGCGGCAGGGGGGAGCGGAAAGUGGUAGGUGUGUUAUCAGCUGGCGGCAACGGGGCUCCUUCCCCGUGAGGCCCCCUGGGAGACAACAUAGAAGGAGCCUUAGGGUGUUCCUGCCUGGGGACGAGGAAGCUGGGUGUCCCCAACUCCCCUGUGACACUGGCCCUCAGCUGGGCCACUCCUAGGGCCCAGAUCUCCCCACAGGGAGGCACAGGUGCUGGCAGGAGGGCGCCAUGGGCCUGGCCGGGAGCGGUGAGCGCCGGGACGCCAACAACGGGCACCAAUAGCAUCCGAGGCAAGGAGGGAGCACGGAGGCCAUCCCGCACGCACCUGUUCACCGAGCAUCCCAGUGUGCCCAUCUCAUCAGGGAGACGGGGAAUGAGAAGAGCACGCGGAGAGAUGGUCAGCAGCGCGGGAUUCGUGCCAGGAAGGGACGGAGGACGGAUAAACAACAUGUGGCGUAUCCACACGACGGGGUUUGAUGCAGCCAUAAAGAGCAAUCGAGCACUGAGUGUUGAAAAUAGUGAGACUGAGCGCAAGACGCCAGAUGCAAAAGGCCACAUAGCGUGUGAUUCCGUUCCUGUGAGGUGUCCCAGGCAGGCAAAUCCGCAGAGACAGGAAGCAGGUCUCGGCUCACGCAGAAAGAGCUCCCAGCCUGCCCUUGCGGAACAGGCCUAUCCACCAUCCUGUAUGAGCUCCCCAUUGCCGUUGUAACAAAUGACCACAAACUUAGUGGCUUAGAACACGC